GGGCCCGCACAAGCAGUGGAGUAUGUGGUUUAAUUCGAAGCAACGCGAAGAACCUUACCAGGGCUUGACAUCCCCUUGGCAGGCUUGGAGACAAGUCCUCUCUUCGGAGCAAGGGAGACAGGUGGUGCAUGGUUGUCGUCAGCUCGUGUCGUGAGAUGUUGGGUUAAGUCCCGCAACGAGCGCAACCCCUGUUGUUAGUUGCCAGCAUUGAGUUGGGCACUCUAACGAGACUGCCGGUGACAAAUCGGAGGAAGGUGGGGACGACGUCAAAUCAUCAUGCCCCUUAUGUCCUGGGCUACACACGUACUACAAUGGCGGUAACAGAGGGAGGCAAGGCAGCGAUGCGGAGCAAAUCCCCAAAAGCCGCCCCAGUUCGGAUUGCAGGCUGCAACCCGCCUGCAUGAAGCCGGAAUUGCUAGUAAUGGCAGGUCAGCAUACUGCCGUGAAUACGUUCCCGGGCCUU
rnacentral:rRNA from 1 species